rnacentral:rRNA from 1 species
GAGACGCUGGCGGCGUGCCUCAUACAUGCAAGUCGAGCGGCUGUAGCAAUACAGCAGCGGCGGACGGGUGAGUAACACGUGGGCAACCUGGCCUUAAGAGGGGGAUAACGUUUCGAAAGGAACGCUAAUACCGCGUAACGCAGAGAGAUCGCAUGAUUUCAUUGCAAAAGGAGAAAUCCGCUUAAGGAUGGGCCCGCGGCCUAUUAGCUAGUUGGUAAGGGUAAUGGCCUACCAAGGCGACGAUAGGUAGCCGACCUGAGAGGGUGAACGGCCACACUGGAACUGAGAACGGUCCAGACUCCUACGGGAGGCAGCAGUAGGGAAUAUUCCGCAAUGGGCGAAAGCCUGACGGAGCAACGCCGCGUGAGUGAAGAAGAUCUUCGGAUUGUAAAGCUCUGUCAACAGGGACGAUAAUGACGGUACCUGUGGAGGAAGCCACGGCAAACUACGUG